rnacentral:rRNA from 1 species
UACGUAGGGUGCAAGCGUUAAUCGGAAUUACUGGGCGUAAAGCGUGCGCAGGCGGUUUUGUAAGUCAGCUGUGAAAUCCCCGGGCUCAACCUGGGAAUGGCAGUUGAGACUGCAAGGCUGGAGUGUGUCAGAGGGGGGUGAGAAUUCCACGUGUAGCAGUGAAAUGCGUAGAGAUGUGGAGGAACACCGAUGGCGAAGGCAGCCCCCUGGGAUAACACUGACGCUCAUGCACGAAAGCGUGGGGAGCAAACAGG